rnacentral:rRNA from 1 species
AACGGACGCUGGCGGCAUGCCUAACACAUGCAAGUCGAACGAGACCUUCGGGUCUAGUGGCGCACGGGUGCGUAACGCGUGGGAACCUGCCCUUAGGUUCGGAAUAACUCCCCGAAAGGGGUGCUAAUACCGGAUAAUGUCUUCGGACCAAAGAUUUAUCGCCUUUGGAUGGGCCCGCGUUGGAUUAGCUAGUUGGUAGGGUAAAAGCCUACCAAGGCGACGAUCCAUAGCUGGUCUGAGAGGAUGAUCAGCCACACUGGGACUGAGGCACGGCCCAGACUCCUACGGGAGGCAGCAGUGGGGAAUAUUGGACAAUGGGCGAAAGCCUGAUCCAGCAAUGCCGCGUGAGUGAUGAAGGCCUUAGGGUUGUAAAGCUCUUUUACCCGGGAUGAUAAUGACAGUACCGGGAGAAUAAGCUCCGGCUAACUCCGUG